rnacentral:rRNA from 1 species
GAUGAACGCUGGCGGCGUGCUUAACACAUGCAAGUCGAACGAAGCACCUUAUUCUGAUUUCUUCGGAAUGAAAAAUUUGGUGACUGAGUGGCGGAGGGUGAGUAACGCGUGGGUAACCUGCCUCAUACAGGGGGAUAACAGUUAGAAAUGACUGCUAAUACCGCAUAAGACCACAGCACCGCAUGGUCCAGGGGUAAAAACUCCGGUGGUAUGAGAUGGACCCGCGUCUGAUUAGGUAGUUGGUGGGGUAACGGCCUACCAAGCCGACGAUCAGUAGCCGACCUGAGAGGGUGACCGGCCACAUUGGGACUGAGACACGGCCCAAACGCCUACGGGAGGCAGCAGUGGGGAAUAUUGCACAAUGGGGGAAACCCUGAUGCAGCGACGCCGCGUGAGCGAUGAAGUAUUUCGGUAUGUAAAGCUCUAUCAGCAGGGAAGAAAAUGACGGUACCUGACUAAGUAGCACCGGCUAAAUACGUGCCAGCAGCCGCCGUAAAAC